UACGUAGGGUGCGAGCGUUGUCCGGAAUUAUUGGGCGUAAAGGGCUCGUAGGCGGUCUGUUGCGUCGGGAGUGAAAGCUCAGGGCUUAACCCUGAGCCUGCUUCCGAUACGGGCAGACUAGAGGUAUGCAGGGGAGAACGGAAUUCCUGGUGUAGCGGUGAAAUGCGUAGAUAUCAAGAGGAACACCUGAGGUGAAGACGGGUUGCUGGGCCGACACUGACGCUGACAGCGCGAAAGCCAGGGGAGCAAACGGG
rnacentral:rRNA from 1 species